GCGGGAUAUAGCUCAGUUGGUAGAGCACGACCUUGCCAAGGUCGGGGUCGCGAGUUCGAGUCUCGUUUCCCGCUCCA
rnacentral:tRNA from 1 species